rnacentral:misc_RNA from 1 species
CCCGGUUUGUCACCGGCAGUCUCUGCAGAGUCCUCGGCAUGACCCGUUAGCAACUAAAGACGAGGGUUGCGCUCGUUGCGGGACUUAACCCAACAUCUCACGGCACGAGCUGACGACAGCCAUGCAGCACCUUACUGGCGGUGUAUUGCUACAAAGUGAGCUUUCACCCACGGUCCACCAGCAUUCUAGCCCAGGUAAGGUUCCUCGCGUAUCAUCGAAUUAAACCGCAUGCUCCACCGCUUGUGCGGACCCCCGUCAAUUCCUUUGAGUUUCAACCUUGCGGUCGUACUUCCCAGGUGGGAUACUUAAUGCUUUCGCUCAGACACACACUGUGUAUCGCGUAUGUCGAGUAUCCAUCGUUUAGGGCGUGGACUAC